rnacentral:lncRNA from 1 species
UAAAGAAACAAGAGUGCACACGCUGAAAUGUCUCGCCUUCUAUACUAAUCAUUGAUAUUAUGUUGAUAGUCCUGAGUAUAAAGCUAAGCUUUAUUACAACUGUCACAUAAACUUAACAUAAACCAAGAUAACUCAACAAAGACCAAUGAACCUUGAAAAUGAGGUCAAAGUCAGAUGAACCAUUCCAGGCAGACAUGUACAGCUAACAAUGCUUCUAUACAACAUAUAUGUUGACCAUUACUUAUAGUUUAAGAAAAUAGACCAAAACACAAAAACUGAACACUGUGCAAUGAACUGUGAAAAUGAGGUCACGGUCAAAUAAAACCUUCGCGACUGACAUAAAGAUCAUAAAAUAUUUCCAUACACCAAAUAUAGUUGACCGAUGGCAUAUAGUAUUAGGUAAAAAGACCAAAACUCACAAACUUAAAUUUGACCACUGAACCAUGAAAAUGAGGUCAAGGUCACAUGACAUCUGCCCGCUAGACAUGUACACCUUACAAUCAUUCCAUACAACAAAUAUAGUAGACCUAUUGCAUAUAGUAUGAGAAAAACACACCAAAACACAAAAAUUUAACUAUAACCACUGAACCAUGAAAAUGAGGUCAAGGUCAGAUGACAACCAAUUGGACAUGUACACCUUACAGUCCUUCCAUACACUGAAUAUACUAGCCCUAUUGCUUAUAGUAUCUGAGAUAUGGACUUGACCACCAAACUUAACCUUGUUCACUGAUCCAUGAAAUGAGGUCAAGGUCAAGUGAAAACUGUCUGACAGACAUGAGGACCUUGCCAAGUACGCACAUACAAAUAUAGUUAUCCUUUACUUAUAAUUAGAGAAGAUUCAACAUUACAAAAAAUUUGAACUUUUUUUUCAAUAGUCACUGAACCAUGAAAAUGAGGUCAAGGUUUGGACAUGUGACUGACGGAAACUUCGUAAUAUGAGCAUCUAUAUACAAGUAUGAAGCAUCCAGGUCUUCCACCUUUCUAAAAUAUAAAGCUUUUAAGAAGUGAGCUAACACCGCCGCCGCCGGAUCACUAUCCCUAUGUCGAGCUUUCUGCAACAAAAGUUGCAGGCUCGACAAAAAGCCAUGAAUUUAUGGAUACCACAGAUGUCAGUAGAUAUAUAGCUAAAAGGGACAAAAAAGUUACAAGGACAAUAUGCUACUUGCUAAAAUGGCUACAUUUAAAGCUAUCUGUUUUCCAUACAUUUUAUAAAAAACAAUAUGCAACUAGAGAUCAUAUAAAGUUUAGUUGGUUUUAAUUAUUGAUUCAAGGGAAGAGGAUUGAGACAAAAACAACACAAGCGAUACCUUGCUGUGUUAGCAUAAAGCAGAUGACUGUACGACUACAAUUUUCUAGCUCAUAAUAUUGAAAAUGCUUCCAACUCUUUUAAUAAUAGUAACAUUACUCUAUUCUUAUUAUACAUAUUUUGAAAACAAUCCUCUUAAAAAAGGAAAAUAAAAGUAAGCAAUCACAUUUCUAUUUUCAAGAUUAAAUUUAACAGUAAAAUCACCCAUGUUUACAUGAUUGUUCAAAUAACAGAACAUUUAGUGGCAAUAAAGUGCAUUAUGAUGUCUAAUAAUGAUAGGUGACCUAUAGACAUUCAACAUUAAGAAAAAGACUAAAUGAAUUAUAACAGUAUAUAUCAUCUUAAAACUAUUUUCAAUGUAACAUGAUGAUAAAAACAAUUUCAUAAUUAACAAUACUUUUUGUUAUAACGAGAAACAAUUUUCCAUAUACAGGUAAGCCUCUGUACAUAGAAAUCUCUAACAACAUAAGCCUCAUGAUCUGUACAUAGCAAUUUCUAACAAUUUCCCUAAUCAAGAUAAAGUCUUUCAAAAAUUGUGUGUACCUAAGAAACAACAUUCUUUGUUCAUAUGUUUCUGAUACAAAUUAACUGCCUAAAUGUCGUAUUUAAAAAUUUAGCAACAAAAGUAUUAAAGACGUGCUUAUGAAUCAAAAUACUGCUUACAAUGUUAAGCAUACAUACAAUGUUUCAAUUAACUAUUUAAUUAUAAUAAAAAAAAAGCUUGGAUUCAUUUAAUAUUAAUACCAGUAUACAUGUACAAUAAUAAACAUCCUCAACAUAUAACUGAAUUUAUCCAUGUCAGCAUAUCUUCUACCGAGUAUAAAGCUUUCUACAUCUACUUAAAAGACAAAAUGUAUACUGUAAACCGGGAAAUUUUCACGCCGUCUUUAUUUCGCGAUUUAUUAACGCAAUCUAAAUUCGCGCCGUUUUGAAUUUGCGAUUACCCUGUGACCUUUAAUGAAUAGAGUUUCCCCAGAAAUUUUUGAGGACGUUUUAUUUUCGUGUUCGACUCAUUACCGCGAAAAUAGCGAAAAUAAAACUUUCCCCGUUUACAGUACAGAUCAGUACACAGUUCAUCUAUCUAUGUGGGAUUUGAUGAAACUCUUAUCAAGUUAUCAUAGAAACAUGACAACAAGAGUGCACACGCUGAAAUGUCUCGCCUUCUAUACUAAUCAUUGAUAUUAUGUUGAUAGUCCUAAGUAUAAAGCUAAGCUUUAUAACAACUGUACCAUAAACUUAACAUUAACCAAGAUAACUCAACAAAGACCAAUGAACCUUGAAAAUGAGGUCAAGGUCAGAUGAACCAUGCCAGGCAGACAUGUACAGCUAGCAAUGCUUCUAUACAACAUAUAUAGUUGACC